UUAAGUUAUUAAGGGCGCACGGUGGAUGCCUUGGCACUAGAAGCCGAUGAAGGACGUUACUAACGACGAUAUGCUUUGGGGAGCUGUAAGUAAGCUUUGAUCCAGAGAUUUCCGAAUGGGGAAACCCAGCAUGAGUUAUGUCAUGUUAUCGAUAUGUGAAUACAUAGCAUAUCAGAAGGCACACCCGGAGAACUGAAACAUCUUAGUACCCGGAGGAAGAGAAAGAAAAUUCGAUUCCCUUAGUAGCGGCGAGCGAAACGGGAAGAGCCCAAACCAACAAGCUUGCUUGUUGGGGUUGUAGGACACUCUAUACGGAGUUACAAAGGACGACAUUAGACGAAUCAUCUGGAAAGAUGAAUCAAAGAAGGUAAUAAUCCUGUAGUCGAAAAUGUUGUCUCUCUUGAGUGGAUCCUGAGUACGACGGAGCACGUGAAAUUCCGUCGGAAUCUGGGAGGACCAUCUCCUAAGGCUAAAUACUCUCUAGUGACCGAUAGUGAACCAGUACCGUGAGGGAAAGGUGAAAAGCACCCCGGAAGGGGAGUGAAAUAGAACCUGAAACCGUGUGCUUACAAGUAGUCAGAGCCCGUUAAUGGGUGAUGGCGUGCCUUUUGUAGAAUGAACCGGCGAGUUACGAUUUGAUGCAAGGUUAAGCAGUAAAUGUGGAGCCGUAGCGAAAGCGAGUCUGAAUAGGGCGUUUAGUAUUUGGUCGUAGACCCGAAACCAGGUGAUCUACCCUUGGUCAGGUUGAAGUUCAGGUAACACUGAAUGGAGGACCGAACCGACUUACGUUGAAAAGUGAGCGGAUGAACUGAGGGUAGCGGAGAAAUUCCAAUCGAACCUGGAGAUAGCUGGUUCUCUCCGAAAUAGCUUUAGGGCUAGCCUCAAGUGAUGAUUAUUGGAGGUAGAGCACUGUUUGGACGAGGGGCCCCUCUCGGGUUACCGAAUUCAGACAAACUCCGAAUGCCAAUUAAUUUAACUUGGGAGUCAGAACAUGGGUGAUAAGGUCCGUGUUCGAAAGGGAAACAGCCCAGACCACCAGCUAAGGUCCCAAAAUAUAUGUUAAGUGGAAAAGGAUGUGGCGUUGCCCAGACAACUAGGAUGUUGGCUUAGAAGCAGCCAUCAUUUAAAGAGUGCGUAAUAGCUCACUAGUCGAGUGACACUGCGCCGAAAAUGUACCGGGGCUAAACAUAUUACCGAAGCUGUGGAUUGUCCUUUGGACAAUGGUAGGAGAGCGUUCUAUGGGCGUUGAAGCAUGAUCGUAAGGACAUGUGGAGCGCUUAGAAGUGAGAAUGCCGGUGUGAGUAGCGAAAGACGGGUGAGAAUCCCGUCCACCGAUUGACUAAGGUUUCCAGAGGAAGGCUCGUCCGCUCUGGGUUAGUCGGGUCCUAAGCUGAGGCCGACAGGCGUAGGCGAUGGAUAACAGGUUGAUAUUCCUGUACCACCUAUAAUCGUUUUAAUCGAUGGGGGGACGCAGUAGGAUAGGCGAAGCGUGCGAUUGGAUUGCACGUCUAAGCAGUAAGGCUGAGUAUUAGGCAAAUCCGGUACUCGUUAAGGCUGAGCUGUGAUGGGGAGAAGACAUUGUGUCUUCGAGUCGUUGAUUUCACACUGCCGAGAAAAGCCUCUAGAUAGAAAAUAGGUGCCCGUACCGCAAACCGACACAGGUAGUCAAGAUGAGAAUUCUAAGGUGAGCGAGCGAACUCUCGUUAAGGAACUCGGCAAAAUGACCCCGUAACUUCGGGAGAAGGGGUGCUCUUUAGGGUUAACGCCCAGAAGAGCCGCAGUGAAUAGGCCCAAGCGACUGUUUAUCAAAAACACAGGUCUCUGCUAAACCGUAAGGUGAUGUAUAGGGGCUGACGCCUGCCCGGUGCUGGAAGGUUAAGAGGAGUGGUUAGCUUCUGCGAAGCUACGAAUCGAAGCCCCAGUAAACGGCGGCCGUAACUAUAACGGUCCUAAGGUAGCGAAAUUCCUUGUCGGGUAAGUUCCGACCCGCACGAAAGGCGUAACGAUUUGGGCACUGUCUCAACGAGAGACUCGGUGAAAUCAUAGUACCUGUGAAGAUGCAGGUUACCCGCGACAGGACGGAAAGACCCCGUGGAGCUUUACUGUAGCCUGAUAUUGAAAUUCGGCACAGCUUGUACAGGAUAGGUAGGAGCCUUUGAAACGUGAGCGCUAGCUUACGUGGAGGCGCUGGUGGGAUACUACCCUAGCUGUGUUGGCUUUCUAACCCGCACCACUUAUCGUGGUGGGAGACAGUGUCAGGCGGGCAGUUUGACUGGGGCGGUCGCCUCCUAAAAGGUAACGGAGGCGCUCAAAGGUUCCCUCAGAAUGGUUGGAAAUCAUUCAUAGAGUGUAAAGGCAUAAGGGAGCUUGACUGCGAGACCUACAAGUCGAGCAGGGUCGAAAGACGGACUUAGUGAUCCGGUGGUUCCGCAUGGAAGGGCCAUCGCUCAACGGAUAAAAGCUACCCCGGGGAUAACAGGCUUAUCUCCCCCAAGAGUUCACAUCGACGGGGAGGUUUGGCACCUCGAUGUCGGCUCAUCGCAUCCUGGGGCUGUAGUCGGUCCCAAGGGUUGGGCUGUUCGCCCAUUAAAGCGGUACGCGAGCUGGGUUCAGAACGUCGUGAGACAGUUCGGUCCCUAUCCGUCGUGGGCGUAGGAAAUUUGAGAGGAGCUGUCCUUAGUACGAGAGGACCGGGAUGGACAUACCUCUGGUGUACCAGUUGUCGUGCCAACGGCAUAGCUGGGUAGCUAUGUGUGGACGGGAUAAGUGCUGAAAGCAUCUAAGCAUGAAGCCCCCCUCAAGAUGAGAUUUCCCAACUUCGGUUAUAAGAUCCCUCAAAGAUGAUGAGGUUAAUAGGUUCGAGGUGGAAGCAUGGUGACAUGUGGAGCUGACGAAUACUAAUCGAUCGAAGACUUAAUCAA
rnacentral:rRNA from 1 species